GGGGGCGUAGCUCAGAUGGUAGAGCGCUCGCUUAGCAUGCGAGAGGUACUGGGAUCGAUACCCAGAGCCUCCA
rnacentral:tRNA from 1 species